AUUGAACGCUGGCGGCAGGCCUAACACAUGCAAGUCGAACGAGUGGCGGACGGGUGAGUAAUGUCUGGGAAACUGCCUGAUGGAGGGGGAUAACUACUGGAAACCGUAGCUAAUACCGCAUACCAUCAGAUGUGCCCAGAUGGGAAUAGCUAGUUGGUGGGGUAACGGCUCACCAAGGCGCCGAGCCCUAGCUGGUCUGAGAGGAUGACCGUCCAAACUGGAACUGAGACACGGUCCAGAAUCCUACGUGAGGCAGCAGUGGGGAAUAUUGCACAAUGGGCGCAAGCCUGGUGCAGCCAAGCCGCGUGUAUGAAGAAGGCCUUCGGGGUGUAAAGUACUUUCAGCGGGGAGGCGUUACCCGCAGGAGAAGCACCGGCUAACUCCGUGCCAGCAGCCGCGGUAAUAC
rnacentral:rRNA from 1 species